UGGGGCAUGACCUUGGUGACUAUAUCUGUCCCAGGCCCAGUUUUUUCUGGCUGUUUCCCUUACUCUCUGCUGCCUGGCUGUCUGAGAUGAGCACCUACCCUCUACUAUGCCCCUCCGCCACAAAAGCAAUGAAGCCAAGUAACUGUAAACUGAAACCUCUGAAACUGAGCUGCAUGAAGUUGGAAGAGAGAGACAUGGAGUCUAGAAAGACAGAAGUAAAGGAAAGUUGAUGGAAUGGUAGACCACAGAUGGAAAGAGCAGGAGCUCUGAAUGAAAGCAGGGGAGGAGAGGACCUCACUGACCUGUGUAUCUACCCAGGAAUGUCAUGCAGUAAGCAAU